rnacentral:rRNA from 1 species
UACAGAGGGUGCGAGCGUUAAUCGGAAUUACUGGGCGUAAAGCGUGCGUAGACGGUAAUGUAAGUCGGGUGUGAAAGCCCCGGGCUCAACCUGGGAAUUGCCUUUAAGACUGCAUCGCUAGAAUUGUGGAGAGGUAAGUGGAAUUCCGAGUGUAGAGGUGAAAUUCGUAGAUAUUCGGAAGAACACCAGUGGCGAAGGCGACUUACUGGACACAUAUUGACGCUGAGGUGCGAAAGCGUGGGGAGCAAACAGG